CUCAGUGAUGGCGGCCGAUUCUUCUGCCAUCAACUUGAGAACUUCUAGAGGAACGGUGAUGGAGCGGACUGUACCAAACCACAUUCUAGACACAAAGAUAUUCUCACAUAUUGGUAAGAGUGCUGUUGCUCACGCCAGUCCUUCGAUCUUGUAUUUUUCCGGCUUCCAGCCGCAUCGUUGCUACUCAAAAACAUUGAGAGUCACAAACAUUUCAAAUUAUUGUCAACGAUUUCACAUAAUUCCACCCACCACACCUCAUUUCAGUGUGAAAGUCAAGAACAAAGGCAACCUCGUGUCUGGACUUAGCUAUGAGGUUAAAGUGGAGUUUAGACCUGAUGAUUAUCACAACUAUCACGACAUGAUCAGAAUCCACUGCCAGAAUGAAGAGAAUGUUGUAGUGCAUGUGUAUGCGUAUCCAGUGAUGGACAGCAGCCAAUUUCCAAGGAACGUUACAUUUUCCCCGACUGCUUUGAAUCAGAGCAAAGUGCAAGUCUUCAAUCUAAAAAAUCCCAUUCCAGUGCAGUUUGAAUUUCAGUUGCAAGUUUUGCGGAAUCAUCCAGCAUUUGCAGUGGAACCAAUGGAUGGUGUUGUUCCCGCUUGUGGAUUCGUGGAGAUUCAAGUUACAUUCAAGCCAAUUGAUUUUACAACUGCAAUAAUGAAGUUGCAGUUGUGUUUAUCUCAGUUCAAUUUUGAGCCAGUUCUUUGCACUAUUAGAGGAAGUUCAACUCCGGGACUACUGAAAGAGCAACAGCAACAUGCUCCUGACCCUGAAACCAGGAGUUCUGUCUCAGAUACAGAGAGUGACUUAGAUCCUCGUUCUGUAACUCCACUAGCGAGAACACGUCUGAAACGACAAGAAGUUAGACGUCUGACAAAACAUCGCGUUGAACCAGUCACAAGUCAGCAAUCAAAAGCUGUUGUCUAUGAAGGCGUGAGGUUUCCAGCUCGGUUGGAUAAUCCAAGUGCCGUCGCUGCUGUACUCAAUCAGCAGACAGGAAAGUUGAAAGCAAAAUAUUUGAAAUCAGCAGCGGCUGGUGAAUCUUCUGGGGAAUUUGAUGUGCAGCAAGUAAAGGAAGCAGCUUAUGAACAGCAGGUUCGGCAAGUAAUGGCAGAUGAGAGAGCAAAUCAACUGAGAUGGAUGACUCGCCUUGGUGAUGACCUCAUAACAGAUGAGAAACGUCAGUGCGUAUUGCAAGCAAGACAGGAAGCUGAUGGUAUAUACAAAACAAAGCAGCGGAUUCCGUCAGCAACAGUGGAAUUUAAUCGAUCAAGCAUUGCCGCUUACAUCUCUAGAACGAGAAGACAAGCACACGAUGUGUCAGUGUUUCAACCAAGAUUUAAUUUAUAUGAAAACGAUACGUGGGGAAGGAGGCAGGUUGCUCUGAACAGAUUUGUUCAGGCAGCAAGAAAGGUGAUUGUGAGAACGAGAGCUCAAGGACGGUUGCAUUACGUUCAAAACUUUGUUAGUGAAUGGCAAAGAGGCAACUUUUCAUUCAAGUCAAAACUUGAUUUAGCUCUUGCAGAAGAGCAGAAAACCAACAAGUUAGAUGUCGUUGGUCUCAAUACAAGCUUGUUUGUAUCACAACCCUUUGCUGGAUACUUAUCUGAGGACGAGGAUGAGAUGCCUACUGACACCUCACUGGGUCCCUGUGCAGUGCAGCCACCACAAGGUCAAAUAAAAACAUCCAUAUUCGUUCCAUUCGUCCACAUCUCGCAUCCAAUAGAGUAUCAUUUGCUUGGCUAUCGUGCUCUGUUGUUUACAACUGCAAUGGAGUAUAAACAACCGGGUCUGAGACAUGAGCUACGCAGUGGAGCUGAGGAUGAACUUGCUCACCUGGAUGGCACUGCAAAUCAACAGCUACCUCUCAUAGACAACCUUUUACUUCCCUCUUCUCCUUCGUCACAAAGAGAAGUCCAAGAGUCACCAACAGAAGACUCCACUGUGUCAAUUUUGCCACCACCAUCUAACCUCACAGCAACCGUUCAGUAUCCUGAACUGCAUAUAUUUAGUCCAGUUCCCGCCCUCCAGAGAUUCCACCCAAUGCUGCCCUACUCAGAAAUCGACGACUACUACCGCUUCUCCCCACAACCUCUCUAUCCUACUCAAACAACAAGAGAGAAAGCAAGAGCAACAACUCGUUUAGACCUCGACAGAGAAGAUGUGAUUCCUGGUUUCAUGCAGUGGAAGACGUUUCCAUGUCAGAGUCUUGUGGCUGCGAGUUCUGUGCCGUCUUUCUCGUCGGUUUGGUUGCCCAGAUGCUCAUGACAAUCACAUUGCAAUACGUUGUAUUGAUGGCAUUGAUUCUUUGCACAAGCAUCUCUCUCUCUUUCUCGAUCACUUUCGUAGCUGGUGAACUGCUGUCAAGCGAGAUACUACACACACACACACACACACACACACACACACACACACACACACACACACACACACACACACACACACACGAGUCGGUAUGUAAAUCAGUGUGCAUGCAAAUCAAUACAGUACGGCAUUACCUACAAGUUCUUUUGAGUUCAACUUGAGACACUUUGUGAUUCACAUUCAAUUUUUGAAUUUUUAAUCAGACUUUCUGUAUACAUACAUACAGUAUUAUCUGUUAGGUUGUUGGGCUAAUGGUUUGUGGCCCAGAUAAACUAAUAAUUAUGUGAGUCUUACAGACGGAGAGUGAUUGGUAGUCUGCAGCAAUUUCUUUGGAUGUGAUGACCAAGAAUGAUGUUAUUCAGUUAACCUGCCUUUCACCUCUGGCUCAUGAUAUCACAACACGUCUCAUUGAUGGCGAUGAUUCUCUGCACUUAUCUCUCUCUCUGUAAAUAUCUUUGGUAUUAGGUGAGCUGCUGGCAGGUGAGAUGCUCCUCACAGUCUCUAUGAACUCUCUCUGCUCUUCCAGUGAAACACGUCUUCUUCUCUUGGCCAUGGCAAGAAAAAAUUCUUCUCGUUUGAUGUUACCUGCAAUCAGUUAGGAUGAUUUGCACACUUCAGGUGUUGUGUGUGACAAUGUGGGAGAUCAAUGGAAAUAGAGUGUUUGAGAAGCAUGCUACCUCAUCUAUGACAAUGACAACAUGGGGAGCUGGUCACAAGAAAUUGAAGUGGGAGGGUCUGGCUAUGGAAACUAAUUGAGAGCGUCUUUUGUGUUGGAAACAUUAGAUUACUUGGAAAGGUUCAAUUCCAGACUGGAUUACACCUUUUCCGGAUGUGGGUGUGUGAGGAGGAGUAUAUAAGAGCAGCUCACCAGCUCACUUCAUCAUCAGUAUCGAGGAUAUCGGUCAUCAUGUUUUCAUUGUUUGUGACAAUUAUUGUGGUCAUUCAAGUCAUUGCUACUUGUGGUGCUCAAAGUGUGUCAGAUGAGAGAAAUCAGCAGACAUGUGUGCCUGCUGGUGUUCCAGGAGUACCUGGAUCACCUGGGUUGCACGGAUCACCCGGACGAGAUGGAAUGAAAGGAGAAAAAGGAUUGAAGGGAGAGAGAGGAUUAGUUGGAGAUGUCGGUGGUAAAGGUAAUGCUGGGAAGAUAGGUCCGCAAGGAAUAAGAGGAGAACAAGGCAGGAAAGGAGAAACAGGAAGAAAAGGAGAAACAGGAGAAGCCGUGAAGCUCAACUGGAAACAGUGUGUGUGGACCAGAGAGGAUGGGAAGGACAGCGGCCUGAUUCAGAACUGUAAUUUUAGGAAACAUGACAGCAAUUCAGCUCUACGUGUUGCCUAUGCAGGAAAUCUCAGGGUUUACUGCACCAGUGGUUCUUGCUGUUCUCGAUGGUAUUUUACAUUCAACAGUAACGAGUGCAGUGGACCUAUGACUAUUGAGGGAGUUGUGUAUGGUUAUCCAGCUAAUGAUAAUCCUCUCCGUCACAGACAGAUUGAGGGAUACUGUGAGAACAUUCCAGCAGGUCAAGUCACAAUUGGAUUCAACAUUGGAAAGUGUAAUAACGUUGCACAGUAUGAUGGCUACACAGGAUGGAAUUCAGUAUCUCGCAUUAUGAUUGAAGAAGUGCCUCCAGCACAAAAAUGACAGAGAAAUUAGAACUUGUGUUCUAUACACUAGAUAAACGCGUACAAUGUACUCGAUGCAAAAUCCAUGCAUUGUCAAAAUAUAAAUCAUUAAUUAAUAACAAUAAUUUUACCAUUUG